rnacentral:rRNA from 1 species
UACGUAGGGUGCGAGCGUUGUCCGGAAUUACUGGGCGUAAAGAGCUCGUAGGUGGUUUGUCGCGUUGUUCGUGAAAACUCACAACUCAAUUGUGGGCGUGCGGGCGAUACGGGCAGACUGGAGUACUGCAGGGGAGACUGGAAUUCCUGGUGUAGCGGUGGAAUGCGCAGAUAUCAGGAGGAACACCGGUGGCGAAGGCGGGUCUCUGGGCAGUAACUGACGCUGAGACGCGAAAGCUAGGGGAGCGAACAGG